rnacentral:rRNA from 1 species
AUUGAACGCUGGCGGCAGGCCUAACACAUGCAAGUCGAGCGACUGCGGGAAAGUAGCUUGCUACUUUUGCCGGCGAGCGGCGGACGGGUGAGUAAUGCCUGGGAAAUUGCCCAGUCGAGGCGGAUAACAGUUGGAAACGACUACUAAUACCGCAUACGCACUACGGGGGAACGCAGGGGACCUUCGGGCCUUGCGCGAUUGGAUAUGCCCAGGUGGGAUUAGCUAGUUGGUGAGGUAAUGGCUCACCAAGGCGACGAUCCCUAGCUGGUCUGAGAGGAUGAUCAGCCACACUGGAACUGAGACACGGUCCAUACUUCUACGGGAGGCAGCAGUGGGGAAUAUUGCACAAUGGGGGAAACCCUGAUGCAGCCAUGCCGCGUGUGUGAAGAAGGCCUUCGGGUUGUAAAGCACUUUCAGCGAGGAGGAAAGGUUGGUGCCUAAUACGUAUCAACUGUGACGUUACUCGCAGAAGAAGCACCGGCUAACUCCGUGCCAGCCGCCGCAGUAAAAC